UACGUAGGUGACAAGCGUUGUCCGGAUUUACUGGGCGUAAAGAGCGCGCAGGCGGUCGAUCAAGUCGAGUGUGAAAGCCCCCGGCUCAACUGGGGAGGGUCAUUCGAUACUGAUCGACUCGAAGGCAGGAGAGGGUAGUGGAAUUCCCGGUGUAGUGGUGGAAUGCGCAGAUAUCAGGAGGAACACCAAUAGCGAAGGCAGCUCGCUGGGACGGUAUGACGCUAAGGCGCGAAAGCGUGGGAGCAAACAGG
rnacentral:rRNA from 1 species